rnacentral:rRNA from 1 species
CACGUAGGGGGCAAGCGUUGUCCGGAUUUAUUGGGCGUAAAGAGCUCGUAGGCGGUUCGGUAAGUCGGGUGUGAAACCUCCAGGCCCAACCUGGAGACGCCACCCGAUACUGCUGUGACUAGAGUCCGGUAGGGGAGCGUGGAAUUCCUGGUGUAGCGGUGAAAUGCGCAGAUAUCAGGAGGAACACCAACGGCGAAGGCAGCUCGCUAGGACGGUACUGACGCUGAGGAGCGAAAGCAUGGGGAGCAAACAGG